rnacentral:rRNA from 1 species
CCGACCGGCGCACGGGUGAGUAACGCGUAUGCAACUUACCUAUCAGAGGGGGAUAACCCGGCGAAAGUCGGACUAAUACCGCAUGAAGCAGGGGCCCCGCAUGGGGAUAUUUGCUAAAGAUUCAUCGCUGAUAGAUAGGCAUGCGUUCCAUUAGGCAGUUGGCGGGGUAACGGCCCACCAAACCGACGAUGGAUAGGGGUUCUGAGAGGAAGGUCCCCCACAUUGGUACUGAGACACGGACCAA